rnacentral:rRNA from 1 species
UAUGUCUCUCCCUGAACUCCGUAAGAAUUAAAGUGAUCGGACUCUGGGGGGAGUAUGGUCGCAAGGCUGAAACUUAAAGGAAUUGACGGAAGGGCACCACCAGGUGUGGAACUUGCGGUUUAAUUUGACAACACGGGGAAACUCACCAGGUCAGGACAUGAUAAGGAUUGACAGAUUGAAAGAUCUUUCAUGAUUUUAUGGGUGGUGGUGCAUGGCCGAUCUUAGUUCGUGAUAUGAAUUGUCGGCUUAAUUGCGUUAACGAACGAGACCUUUAGGGAUAAAUAGCGUCGCUAUGGCUGUGUCAAAUACAGUUACUGCCUCUGGGAGAAGGGCAUGUUCCCCUUUCAGAUGUCGACGGUGGCUGUAAUAGCUAUAGUUGGCUGCGGUAGCAAUAUCGUAUCAAGCUUCUUAUUCCGACUAUUGAUGUUCAAUCAAUGUAAGUUAAAGGCAAUAUCAGGUCUGUGAUGCCCUUAGAUGUUCUGGGCC